AGGGUUCGAUUCUGGCUCAGGAUGAACGCUAGCUACAGGCUUAACACAUGCAAGUCGAGGGGCAGCAUGUUGGUUGCUUGCAACCGAUGAUGGCGACCGGCGCACGGGUGAGUAACGCGUAUCCAACCUUCCCUAUAGUAGAGGAUAGCCCGGCGAAAGUCGGAUUAAUACUCUAUGUUGUUCAAUGCAGACAUCUAAAAUGGAACAAAGGUUUACCGCUAUAGGAUGGGGAUGCGUCUGAUUAGGUAGUCGGCGGGGUAACGGCCCACCGAGCCAUCGAUCAGUAGGGGUUCUGAGAGGAAGGUCCCCCACAUUGGAACUGAGACACGGUCCAAACUCCUACGGGAGGCAGCAGUGAGGAAUAUUGGUCAAUGGGCGCGAGCCUGAACCAGCCAAGUAGCGUGCAGGAUGACGGCCCUAUGGGUUGUAAACUGCUUUUAUACAGGGAUAAAGUGGGGAACGUGUUCCCUUUUGUAGGUACUGUAUGAAUAAGGACCGGCUAAUUCCGUGCCAGCCGCAGC
rnacentral:rRNA from 1 species